rnacentral:rRNA from 1 species
UUUUGCAUUCCUCCUCRAGARAGAAGAUGCGCCACGACUCGUGUAGGACUUUUUUCAGAUGGUGCUGGCAACACCGAGCUAUCAAUUAUAAGCAUAAAKGGAAGGCUUCCCAAGAAUCUUUAGCAUGCACAACACCCGUAAAWUUUUUGGAGCACUCAACGAUAAAAAUGAUAGGCAACACAAUGAAGCAAUCAAAAUACCAARGUUUCCAACUUUGUACCCCCCCKKUAAASSMUGGGAUAARRGGRGGGGSGGWMCAAAUAAGSAUCUUUGAACAUAUAUUCCGAACCCGGUCCAAUUUCCAUGAUGGCAACAACAAACCUAGUGAAAUUCAACACAUAGGUAUGAAAAAGGUAUGUGGUACUCGUCAGUUGGCCGCAACAAAGCGGGGAGCCUGACGUAGUUGACACAUCAAUAACCACACACAUGCCGUCACGGUCACUACCCAGCAAAACGGCUCCGCUUUUUCCCCUUUUUUGAAA